UUUCCGUAGGUGAACCUGCGGAAGGAUCAUUAUUGUAUAACCGAGGUGCGAGUGCUGUCGCUGACCCGAAAGGUCGUGCACGCCCGAGUGCCCUCACACACAUCCAUCUCACCCCUAUGUGCACCACCGCGUGGGUCCCCCUUUGGCUUGUUCGGAGGGGGGCUUACGUUUUCACACAAACUUUGUAUGCAGUGUAGAAUGUAUUUUUUGUGUUUGCGAUCACGCAAUCAAUACAACUUUCAACAACGGAUCUCUUGGCUCUC
rnacentral:misc_RNA from 1 species